GUGGAGAAGCUACCAGCGUCGAAGAAUUAAUAUAUCAAGGAAAUGACAACAAAUGCGGUGUGUUUGAGCUCCGGAACCUAACCAGGGUGAUCACCGGGCCUUGCUAUUAUUUGUAUAACAAACCAUGUCCGCAAUAUCGUGCCUUUGAUGUAAGGGUGAGGGGCUUCGGCGGCCGUGUAUCCGCCAAUGAGUGCUUGGAUUGGUUCAAAGCGGAGUACCCAGAAGAAACCUUUACACGGGAAUUGUAUAAACGCAGUUGCAACGAUAUUUCCAAACUCAGUAUCAGACAUUCGUAGGCCGGAAAUUGCAGACUCAAUAUGACAUGAUUGGUCAUUCAAUGAAAACAAGUAGUUACCGAGCCA
rnacentral:lncRNA from 1 species